UUUAUUGGGUUUAAAGGGUCCGUAGGCGGGUCUUUAAGUCAGUGGUGAAAGCCUGCAGCUUAACUGUAGAAUUGCCAUUGAUACUGAAGACCUUGAGUGUAGUAGAAGUAGGCGGAAUAUGGCAUGUAGCGGUGAAAUGCAUAGAUAUGCCAUAGAACACCGAUUGCGAAGGCAGCUUACUAUGUUACAACUGACGCUGAGGGACGAAAGCGUGGGUAGCAAACAGGAUUAGAUACCCUGGUAGUCCACGCCGUAAACGAUGAUUACUCGCUGUUAGCGAUAUACAGUUAGCGGCCAAGCGAAAGCAUUAAGUAAUCCACCUGGGGAGUACGCCGGCAACGGUGAAACUCAAAGGAAUUGACGGGGGCCCGCACAAGCGGUGGAGCAUGUGGUUUAAUUCGAUGAUACGCGCAGAACCUUACCAACCCUUGACAUCCUAGGACCACCCGAGAGAUCGGGCUUUCACUUCGGUGACCUAGUGACAGGUGCUGCAUGGCU
rnacentral:rRNA from 1 species